rnacentral:lncRNA from 1 species
AUUUCAAAUGUCACAUAAACGUCAAACUUUUGCGCAUCUACGAUGCUGGUUUUUUUUUUCAUCCCAACAUACAUCGCUCUGUGUGUCAGUGGUUUUGCACCCCCAUCCGAUCCGACUGACCACCCAAAUUCCUUGCCCAACCAUGUGACCAUGCGACCAGUGGCCGCCACACACUAACAAGCUCCUGAACUACGGUUAUAGUUAGAUAAAUGGUUCGACCAGGAGCGAGUGUAGCCAUGAAUUUAGGCGAGCACCAAUCAAUAAUCACGUUUGCUCCGGGUUUCCGCUGCCAGCUUGCAACAUGGCAACAUGAAAAAUGACGAAUGCCCAUCGAAGGUGGCAGGCAACUCCCGCAGGAGCGGAUGGCGGAGUAGCCAAUGGCCAGAUGACUUUGAUUUACU